rnacentral:sRNA from 1 species
AGGAAUCGUAUAAUUGUUGUCACAUCGAACGAGAGUAGGACGGAGGAAGAGAGCGAGAGAGAGAGGACUUACAAAGAGAGCAAGAGAGAGAGAGAGAGAGAGGGAAAGACAUAACACAAGGAAUUUAAAAAUUGAGAGAUACAAUUGCUCGAUAUUGUGAAAUCGUUUAUUUAUGUUUUAAAAGCUUCUUGCUAUAUUGUGAAACCGGCGCCUAAUCAAAAAAGCGUUCGGAAGAAGAUGCCGAGAACCGGCGUCAAAGUGUCAACAUCAAUUAAAACGGCAGUCAGCUGUUCCACAAAAUCAGCUGUGUCGUAGUAGUGUGUAGAUGUAAAGAUGUGCAAUUGACAUGUAGCACAAAAUUAAGACAUACUGAAAAAUUAACAGAAUUUUGAAUCUAACCAUUUUUGUUAUAUGAUUUCAACUAUGCCGAAACAUAUUAAAAGUCAAUAGUAACCUACUUCCAUAUUAUUGUGUGCCCAAAUUAUUUUCUAAAUUUAUGGAAAGUAAGGUAAAUAUUUAAUAACUUGGAAAAUUGUUACUCAAAUUUCAUAUAUGUAUGUACAUAUAUGCAUAAGAAGUGUUUCACAGAUAUGUAUUUAUACCCCCCAAUUGGCAGAGUUUUGCAAUUUUGUACCCCGACCUCAAAAACUCCUUUUGUUUUUUGUUUUUGUUUUAACGUAACAUUAGGUAAUUUGUUUUUACAUUUUGUCGUACGAAGGCCAGAAUGGAAACUCCCAUAUUGAACUAUCUAAAAAAAAUGACAGAAAAACUAUUAGCAAUCAUUCCUCUCCGGAAAAUUAAAAAAUGCUUUGGUUUUUUUUUUUAGUUACGACCACCACUUUAUUUUCAUUUUGUGUUUUUGUAAGUUUAGUUCAUUUUCAUUAAGUUUGCUCAAAUCAUGUUCGAUUAAAUUACAAAGUGCUUAAACCUAAAAGUAUGUGUGUACGUAUGUAUGGACUAAAAUGGUUAACAAAGUUUGGCAAUCAGUUACAGUUAGUGGAAACGAAUUCAAAGAACCCAUGUAGGCGUAGUACAACCAAAACAACAAUGGGAAAUCGAAUCAGUUUAAAUAUAUAUGCAUGUAUGUAUGUAUGUAUUUUUGUUUUUGGUUUUCUUAUUCGAUCAUGCGUUGGCCGAGAAAUUGUGGCUCAAUGCGAUUAG